UACAGAGGGUGCGAGCGUUAAUCGGAAUUACUGGGCGUAAAGCGUGCGUAGACGGUCAAGUAAGUCGGGUGUGAAAGCCCCGGGCUCAACCUGGGAAUUGCAUUCGAGACUGCGUGGCUAGGGUGCGGAAGAGGGAAGCGGAAUUUCCGGUGUAGCGGUGAAAUGCGUAGAUAUCGGAAGGAACACCAGUGGCGAAAGCGGACUUCCGUGGUCCAGCACCGACGUUCAG
rnacentral:rRNA from 1 species